rnacentral:rRNA from 1 species
UACGUAGGGGGCGAGCGUUGUCCGGAAUCAUUGGGCGUAAAGCGCGCGUAGGUGGCUUCGUAAGUCCGUUGUGAAAGUCAAAGGCUCAACCUUUGAAUGCCGAUGGAUACUGCGAAGCUAGAGUACGGAAGAGGCGAGUGGAAUUCCUGGUGUAGCGGUGGAAUGCGCAGAUAUCAGGAGGAACACCAAUAGCGAAGGCAGCUCGCUGGGACGUUACUGACACUAAGGCGCGAAAGCGUGGGGAGCGAACAGG